rnacentral:rRNA from 1 species
AGCAGGAAGACAGGUGGUGCAUGGUUGUCGUCAGCUCGUGUCGUGAGAUGUUGGGUUAAGUCCCGCAACGAGCGCAACCCUUAUCGUUAGUUUGCUUACCAUUAAGUUGAGCACUCUAGCGAGACUGCCCGGGUUAACCGGGAGGAAGGUGGGGAUGACGUCAAAUCAUCAUGCCCCUUAUGUCUAGGGCUACACACGUGCUACAAUGGUGAGGACAAAGAGACGCAAGACCGCGAGGUGGAGCAAAUCUCACAAACCUCAUCCCAGUUCGGAUUGCAGGCUGAAACUCGCCUGCAUGAAGCCGGAGUUGCUAGUAAUCGCGAAUCAGCAUGUCGCGGUGAAUACGUUCCCGGGCCUU